rnacentral:tRNA from 1 species
GCUGCUAUGGCUCAGUCGGCAGAGCGCGUCCUUGGUAAGGACGAGGUCACCGGUUCGAUUCCGGUUAGCAGCUCCA